AUUCCAGUAUAUUGAACAGAAAAUACGCGGCGAGGGUAAACGAUCUUAUCAUCAGGAGGGUCCAGCUUUGCUGCUGAUAACUGACAAAAAGCCGAUCUAGGAAGACUGAGAAAGGCGAUUUUCCUAAAGAAGAUAACACCUGAAGAUGCUUCCUCGCUCACUUUUGUUUCCUGUUGUGCUUCUGCUUCUCUGGAGGAUGAUGGACAUGAUGGAAAUGCCCACUGACGAGGUCACAUUUAUCAAAACUUUACGACAUUUUGGAAGAUCCCCUGGACCAAUGGGAU
rnacentral:misc_RNA from 1 species